UACAGAGGGUGCAAGCGUUAAUCGGAAUUACUGGGCGUAAAGCGUGCGUAGACGGUUAUUUAAGUCAGGUGUGAAGCCCCGGGCUCAACCUGGGAAUUGCAUUUGAGACUGAAUAGCUAGGGUGCGGAAGAGGGAAGCGGAAUUUCCGGUGUAGCGGUGAAAUGCGUAGAUAUCGGAAGGAACACCAGUGGCGAAAGCGGCUUCCUGGUCCAGCACCGACGUUCAGGCACGAAAGCGUGGGGAGCAAACAGG
rnacentral:rRNA from 1 species